rnacentral:rRNA from 1 species
CGAAAUUUAUGGUAGCGAAUGGGAUUAGAUACCCCAGUAGUCAUAAACGUAAACGAUGAAUACUAAAUUUUAACUUUUAAAUAAUGUUAAAGUUAAAGUUAACACGUUAAGUAUUCCACCUGGGGAGUAUAUCUUAGCGAUGAAACUCAAAGGAAUUGGCGAGGGUCCUUAUUAACGAUGGAGUGUGUGGUUUAAUUCGAUAUUGAGCGAUUACCAAGUUUUUUAAUGAAUGAAUUUUUUUAUUUAUUGAAAAGGUGGUGCAUGGCUGUUGUCAGUUCGUGCUGUGAAGUGUUAGGUUCAGUCCUAUAACGAACGUAACCCCUUUAAUUUGUUAUAAGUAAACGCAUUUAUUAUAUUUAAUAACAAUAAACUCUUUUUAUAGAUUCUUUUUUGGAUUAUAAAAGGAUGUUACUAAAAUUCUGAAUUAAGCAAAUAUCAUGAAUAGCUUAAGAAAAGUAUCGGCUAAUAUCUGUGCCAGCAGCCGCGGUAACACAGAAGAUGCAAGCGUUAUUCGGUUUUAUUGGGUGUAAAGGGUUCGUAGGUUUUUUAUUAAGACUUUUACUAAAUAAUAAGAAAAUUUAUUACUAAAAAGUGACUAAUAAAAUUGAGUAUAAAAAUUUAGGGUAGAAGUAAUUUUUUGUGUAAUAGUAAAAUGUUUCUAUACAAAAGAGAGCAUCAAAGGUGAAGACAUUCUACUUAAUUUAUACUGACGUUGAGGGACGAAAUUUAUGGUAGCGAAUGGGAUUAGAUACCCCAGUAGUCAUAAACGUAAACGAUGAAUACUAAAUUUUAACUUUUAAAUAAUGUUAAAGUUAAAGUUAACACGUUAAGUAUUCCACCUGGGGAGUAUAUCUUAGCGAUGAAACUCAAAGGAAUUGGCGAGGGUCCUUAUUAACGAUGGAGUGUGUGGUUUAAUUCGAUAUUGAGCGAUUACCAAGUUUUUUAAUGAAUGAAUUUUUUUAUUUAUUGAAAAGGUGGUGCAUGGCUGUUGUCAGUUCGUGCUGUGAAGUGUUAGGUUCAGUCCUAUAACGAACGUAACCCCUUUAAUUUGUUAUAAGUAAACGCAUUUAUUAUAUUUAAUAACAAUAAACUCUUUUUAUAGAUUCUUUUUUGGAUUAUAAAAGGAUGUUUUAUUUUAUUUGUAUAUUUAUGUAAGUUAUUUAUCAAAAUUAAACAGCUAUAAAUAAAUUUAUUUGAUAAAAUAGAGGAAGAGGGACUAUAGCAAGUCAACAUGCCCCGUAUAAUUUGGGCUACGCGCGCACUACAAUGGAAUAUACAAUCUAUAUCUUAAAAAAAAUAUUCCUCAGUUCGGAUUGUGGGAUUAAGCUCGCCCACAUGAAGUAGGAAUCGUAAGUAAUCGUAUGCAGAAUCAUACGGUGAAAUAGUACCCUAUUUCUUGAUAGGAAAUAGGGCAAAUAGGGAUCUUGUACACACUGCCCGUCACGUUAUGGUGAUUCUAUUGUCUAAAGUCUUUUUUAUAAAGGGA